AGGCCAGGGGUCUGUUUCCUUUUCUCUUGUUGACUCUGGAUUAGAGCUUCUGCCUGCCAGGAAUGGUGUCUCAGCCAGGGGGCCCCUGCCUCUUCCUGCCUACACCUUAAACCUUUCCCUAUUCAAUACCGGAUGAAUGCAUCAAACGUCAGACUUCAUGGUUGGCAGGGCACUUGGAAGUCUCCGGGAAAUCUCAGGAACAAUGUAACCACAGAGAAGAUGACAUCAGAUUUCUGUCUGGGAUGUGAAUACAUAUGAAGCCGAUGUGUCACAAAAUCAAAGUCGGUUAUGUAUGGAUCUCGUGCCUACAGAAUUACUUUUUAACUGAAGGAAUGAAUGACACAGAAACUUGGAUUAUUAAGACUAGGACAUUUGGCAAGACAGUUUCUGGAAGUUGCCAUAGGUGGCUCAUAGUUACUAUUCAGACAGUACAUAUCCAGUUUCUGGAAAAUGAACAUGAACUUAACCUUUCAUGAAAAUCAACUCACAUAUGCCAGCUGAGUACUUGUUGCCUUGAUCAAAUGUAAGCUCUCAAGAGAAAAUCAGAAGCUUGUGAUGUACCAAUAAACUUCACAGCCUCCCAUUACUGACAAACUUUUCUAUUGGGAUCUGGGGUAAUAUUAAAACAAAUAUGGGGGUUCCUGCGUGGCUCAGUCAGUUAAGCAUCUGCCUUUGGCUCAGGUCAUGAUCCAAGUGUCCAGGGAUAGAGCCCCACAUCAGAUUCUCUGCUCACUGGAGAGCUUCUCCCUCUUCCUCUGCCUGCUACUAUGCCUACUUGUGCUCUC